rnacentral:tRNA from 1 species
GCGCCCAUAGCUCAGUUGGAUAGAGCGUUGGCCUCCGGAGCCAAAGGUCAGAGGUUCGAAUCCUCUUGGGCGCGCCA